UCGACACCUAUGGUUCUCGCUCAAAUAACCGGAAUGCAAUUAUGUACUUGCAAGACCGACAGUCUCUAGAGCAAGUGGCAAAGGACUUAGUGGUUGGUACCUGAGACCCAAGUUCGAAUCCUAGUUGGUUCACAUUUCCAGCUAAGUUUAUUUCUAAAUGAAAUAAACGAAGCAGAUAGCGUGCUACCUAUUUCUCUCAAAAAAAAAAAAUUAUGAAUUGCAAGGUUAUUUCUAUA
rnacentral:lncRNA from 1 species